GCGGUGAUGUUUCUCCCCAAAAUUUCCAUUCUUUCUCUUGGCUCGUGCCCCCGGCUAUGUUCUCUCUUUCACUGGAAAAAUACCGCCCUAAUCAUGUCGCCGGAACCAGUUCGCAACACCUAAUGGUUUCGGAAGAUCUUUCAAUUUACAGCCUAUUUAUGAAAAAUAUUCAAAUUGGGGAGAAAUUGUUCGUGCAAUUUCUAUUCGGAAGUUUUUACGAGCCGGACGAAGGCGCCUAAAAAUCAAGGUUGACUAAAAGGCAACAUUGUAAUCGUCCUCUCACUAUUCUUCGAUUUUCUCUUUCGAUUUCAUCAAAAACAGAAAAGGAAAACAUUAUUGCAACACGUUUGCUUGUAGAUGUUUAUAGAUUGCACAAAUUUAUCAUCAUUCGACUCUUAAUCAAUAGUUUUCUGUCAUGUCAAAGCGUCAUGCCAUUCGUUGGGAUCGACAGCGCGCCGCGUCCUUACUCAAGGAACAGUUUCGCAACGUGAAACAUUUAAUUAAUAAUGUUGUCAUGGCGCCUUGAAAAAGAAAUACGGGAAUAUGCGCAGUGCAAUAUCGUUGUUACGACGCUGCACGAACCGGAUUUGUUUCAAUACGGAUUCUAAUCGAUACAAAGAUAAAAUUUGGGCCCUUAUGAAACUUUCUGAAUUAAUACCAGGUAAUUUACCUGGAUGUUUGCUCUCUUUUUGUCGUCAAGCUAUUCCUCUCGUUGAUUCCCUUGUGAACAUCGACCAGCAACGUUCGUUUAAGGCCAACACAGACAUUAACGUACGACUGAUUUCGAAGAAUUGUAUUUA